GUAUUCUCUUUCCUCUGGUAGUAAAUUUUGAGUUGAUUGUGUAAUUCUUUGUUGAAAGGCUUGAGUCUUAUUUUUUAAAGACUUGCGAUCUAUCAAGAAUUCCUUUUGCUGGAACUUGUUGUGUGGCCUGACGGAACUGUAUAUGCUGUGAAAAGUUGAGCCUACUUACAUACUUACCUGAGCCUUAACUGAGCUACAGCUAUUGGAACUUGUUGUGUGGCUUGACGGAACUGUAUAUGCUGUGAAAAGUUGAGCCUACUUACAUACUUACCUGAGCCUUAACUGAGCUACAGCUAUUGGAUUAGUUAACUGAGCACUCAGGAUUCGUCUAGUCUCAACUUGUUUUGAAAGCUGGCCUACGCAACCUGAUUCUCAGAAAGUGAAUGCCAUACCCUGAUGUUAACGGAAUAUUAUGGAUAAGUACUUUUUGUAUUAAUUCUUAUUAAUUGUAUUUAAAUGUCACAGGGCUGCUUGGGGUCACUGAAAUCUGGUCAAAUUAUGUGAACAAUGCUUAUUUAGAUUUUACUUUAUAACCGGCUUUGACCUUACGAUAAAUACUUUGACCUUACGACUAUCUAAGUUCAACUCCGUCGUACCUAACCCAGAAGACAAGGAUUCCUUAAGCCUUUGGUUUUUGAUUUUGACAUGAGUGAUUGGAACUGAUAUGUAUAUAAAUUUUUUUCUCCAGUUAAAGCGUUCUCAAGUAUAAUGGCAGAUAAGAUUUUACUUUUUCACUUCUUUACAUUUGAUGUUUUGUUGUGUAAAAACUUUAAUAUGUAAGUUUUUUUUGUUUUCCUUUAGUUCAUCUUUUUAAGGAAUCUUAAGAUUUGAUGUAACUUUUAUAUAAUGCAUAACAUCUGAUUGAUUUUUUAAACAGAAUAUUCUUAAGGGGAAAAAUAUUUGAAAUGAAGCAUAAUUACAGAAUGAUAAAUCUGUACUUCCAUUUACUUUUAACUUGGCUCCAUAUUAGAACUAAAAAAAUAAGAACUUUGAAGACAUCAAAUUGGUUUUUUAAGCCACAUAUUAAUUUCAAUUGCAACAUAAUUAAU